rnacentral:rRNA from 1 species
GAACUGAAGAGUUUGAUCAUGGCUCAGAUUGAACGCUGGCGGCAGGCCUAACACAUGCAAGUCGAGCGAAUGAAGGGAGCUUGCUCCUGGAUUCAGCGGCGGACGGGUGAGUAAUGCCUAGGAAUCUGCCUGGUAGUGGGGGAUAACGUCCGGAAACGGGCGCUAAUACCGCAUACGUCCUGAGGGAGAAAGUGGGGGAUCUUCGGACCUCACGCUAUCAGAUGAGCCUAGGUCGGAUUAGCUAGUUGGUGGGGUAAAGGCCUACCAAGGCGACGAUCCGUAACUGGUCUGAGAGGAUGAUCAGUCACACUGGAACUGAGACACGGUCCAGACUCCUACGGGAGGC